rnacentral:misc_RNA from 1 species
GUGAAUCAUCGAAUCUUUGAACGCACAUUGCACUCUCUGGUAUUCCGGAGAGCAUGCUUGUUUGAGGGUCAGUUUAAAUAAAAAUCGGUGUGGUUGCUACCUUUCGUGGUGACGCACAGGAUUGGGGUCGUCUCGCCUUCGGCUACGUGACAUCAAAAUCUGCAUGAUCUUUUUCGAACGUAUUUAAAUGAUUUUACGUUGGGUA